UACAGAGGUCUCAAGCGUUGUUCGGAUUCAUUGGGCGUAAAGGGUGCGUAGGCGGCGUGGUAAGUCGGGUGUGAAAUCUCGGAGCUUAACUCCGAAACUGCAUUCGAUACUGCCGUGCUUGAGGACUGGAGAGGAGACUGGAAUUUACGGUGUAGCGGUGAAAUGCGUAGAGAUCGUAAGGAAGACCAGUGGCGAAGGCGGGUCUCUGGACAGUUCCUGACACUGAGGCACGAAGGCCAGGGGAGCAAACGGG
rnacentral:rRNA from 1 species